rnacentral:rRNA from 1 species
UGAGGAAUAUUGGGUCAAUGGGCGAGAGCCUGAACCAGCCAAGUAGCGUGCAGGAUGACGGCCCUAUGGGUUGUAAACUGCUUUUAUAAGGGAAUAAAGUGGGUCACGUGUGACUUUUUGCAUGUACCUUAUGAAUAAGGACCGGCUAAUUCCGUGCCAGCAGCCGCGGUAAUACGGAAGGUCCAGGCGUUAUCCGGAUUUAUUGGGUUUAAAGGGAGCGUAGGCCGGAGAUUAAGCGUGUUUGUGAAAUGUAGUGGCUCAACCUCUGCACUGCAGCGCGAACUGGUCUUCUUGAGUACGCACAACGUGGGCGGAAUUCGUGGCGUAGCGGUGAAAUGCUCAGAUAUCAUGAAGAACUCCAAUCGCGAAGGCAGGCGAUCCGGGGUACAACUGACGCUGAGGCUCGAAAGUGCGGGUA